rnacentral:rRNA from 1 species
AAUGAACGCUGGCGGCGCGCCUAAUACAUGCAAGUCGAGCGAGAAGACGUAGCAAUACGUUUGUAAAGCGGCGAACGGGUGAGGAAUACAUGGGUAACCUACCCUCGAGUGGGGAAUAACUAGCCGAAAGGUUAGCUAAUACCGCGUACGCUUCUUGGACUUCGGUUCAGGGAGGAAAGCGAUGCCGAGGGUAUCGCGCUCUUGGAUGGGCUCAUGUCCUAUCAGCUUGNGGUGAGGUAACGGCUCACCAAGGCUUCGACGGGUAGCUGGUCUGAGAGGACGAUCAGCCACACUGGCACUGCGACACGGGCCAGACUCCUACGGGAGGCAGCAGUAGGAAUAUUGCGCAAUGGGCGAAAGCCUGACGCAGCGACGCCGCGUGGGGGAUGAA